rnacentral:tRNA from 1 species
AAUAUAGUAUAAUGGCAGUACAUCAGACUUUGACUCUGUGGGUGUAGGUUCAAUUCCUGCUAUU